rnacentral:sRNA from 1 species
ACGGAUUGCAUACCUGAGUGAACGGAGA